AUCCCUUUGUAGUUCAUGAGCAUGAUGAUUAGGUGUUCACGUGCCGGUGUGAGAUGUGCCAUGCUCGAAUCUUGUUACAACGUCAGCACGUUAGCCAUCUGAUC
ensembl:snoRNA